AACGAACGCUGGCGGCGUGUCUAAUACAUGCAAGUCGUACGAGAAAGCCCGGCUUCGGUUGGGUGAGUAAAGUGGCGAACGGGUGAGUAACACGUGGGCAAUCUGCCCUUAGGUCUGGGAUAAGCUCGGGAAACUGGGUCUAAUACCGGAUAACAUCCCUGGAGGACAUCCUCCGGGGAUCAAAGGCGGGGCAACCUGCCGCUUAGGGAUGAGCCCGCGCUCCAUUAGCUUGUUGGUGAGGUAACGGCCCACCAAGGCUCCGAUGGAUAGCCGGCCUGAGAGGGUGAACGGCCACACUGGGACUGAGAUACGGCCCAGACUCCUACGGGAGGCUG
rnacentral:rRNA from 1 species